rnacentral:rRNA from 1 species
GUGAGGAAUAUUGCGCAAUGGAGGCAACUCUGACGCAGCCAUGCCGCGUGCAGGAAGAAGGCGCUACGCGUUGUAAACUGCUUUUAACCGGGAAGAAACCCCAGGACGUGUCCUGGGUUGACGGUACCGGAGGAAUAAGCACCGGCUAACUUCGUGCCAGCAGCCGCGGUAAUACGAAGGGUGCAAGCGUUAUCCGGAUUCAUUGGGUUUAAAGGGUGCGUAGGCGGAGCGUUAAGUCAGUGUUGAAAUCCUGCAGCUUAACUGUAGACUUGCCAUUGAUACUGGCGCUCUUGAGUGCGCUUGAAGUGGGCGGAAUGUGCCGUGUAGCGGUGAAAUGCUUAGAUAUGGCACAGAACACCAAUUGCGAAGGCAGCUCACUAAGGCGAUACUGACGCUGAGGCACGAAAGCGUGGGGAUCGAACAGGAUUAGAAACCCCUGUAGUCC